AUGCCGAGGCACCUCCGCACGCCUGCAACCCCUCCCCGUUGCCCCGCCUCAGCUUCACUCGGCCACAACGGCGCCUCGCUGCUGCCUCGCCACAACUUCGCCCGGCCCUGCUGCCGCGCCUGGAUGGAUGACACAACUGCACGCCCGCAAUGCCUUCCUGCUGCCGCAAUGGCACCAAAACUUUGCCCGGCCACGGCACCAACAUCAGGCUGGAACAUCAUUAGCGCCGGCGGACAUAGUCUGCAAGCUAUUCACCUUGGCUAUUUAUUUGACGAGGCAGUUAUGCGUGGUUAUACACACAAAUAUGGAGUAGUUGGUGUUUUUUUGUUGCCCAGUUGUUUGCUUGGAAUGCAUCAUGAUUCAUUGAUUUGGUUCUAG
rnacentral:rRNA from 1 species